UUGGAUUUUCGAAGAGAAAAUGCAUGAUUUACCCUUAAAUGGGGGGUUUUUGAGGAGAAAAUGCGUGAUUUUCCAAAUAAUUGGGGAUUUUUGAAGGGAAAAUGGGUGAUUUUCGGGUUAAAUGGGAGAUUUUUGAAGAGAAAACGGGUGAUUUUCGCUUAAAUGCGUGACUUUUUAGCUAAAUGUUGGAUUUUCGAAGAGAAAAUUCAUGAUUUACCCUUAAAUGGGGGAUUUUCGAGGAGAAAAUGCGUGAUUUUGGGGUAAAAUGGGAAGUUUUCGAAGAGAAACGGGGUGAUUUUCACUUAAAUGGGGGGUUUUUGAAGAGAAAAGGGGUGAUUUUUGCUUAAAUGGGGCAUUUUCGGCGGGAAAAUGGGUGAUUUUCGAGUUAAAUCUGGGAUUUUUGAAGGGAAAAUGGGUGAUUUUCCCUUAAAUGGGGGGUUUUUGAGGAGAAAAUGUGUGAUUUUCCAAAUAAUUGGGGAUUUUUGAAGGGAAAAUGGGUGAUUUUCGAGUUAAAUCUGGGAUUUUUGAAGGGAAAAUGGGUGAUUGUCGGGUUAAAUGGGGGAUUUUCGAAGAGAAAACAGGUGAUUUUCGCUUAAAUGCGUGACUUUUUAGCUAAAUGUUGGAUUUUCGAAGAGAAAAUUCAUGAUUUACCCUUAAAUGGGGGAUUUUCGAGGAGAAAAUGCGUGAUUUUGGGGUAAAAUGGGAAGUUUUCGAAGAGAAACGGGGUGAUUUUCACUUAAAUGGGGGGUUUUUGAAGAGAAAAGGGGUGAUUUUUGCUUAAAUGGGGCAUUUUCGGCGGGAAAAUGGGUGAUUUUCGAGUUAAAUCUGGGAUUUUUGAAGGGAAAAUGGGUGAUUUUCCCUUAAAUGGGGGGUUUUUGAGGAGAAAAUGUGUGAUUUUCCAAAUAAUUGGGGAUUUUUGAAGGGAAAAUGGGUGAUUUUCGAGUUAAAUCUGGGAUUUUUGAAGGGAAAAUGGGUGAUUGUCGGGUUAAAUGGGGGAUUUUCGAAGAGAAAACAGGUGAUUUUCGCUUAAAUGCGUGAUUUUUUAGCUAAAUGUUGGAUUUUUGAAGAGAAAAUGCAUGAUUUACCCUUAAAUGGGGGAUUUUCGAGGAGAAAAUGCGUGAUAUUUGCUUAAAUGGGGCAUUUUCGAAGAGAAAAUGCGUGAUUUUUGCUUAAAUGCAUGAUUUUUUUGUUAAAUGGGGGAUUUUUGAGGAGAAAAUGCAUGAUUUACCCUUAAAUGGGGGAUUUUCAAGGAGAAAAUGCGUGAUUUUCCAAAUAAUUGGAGAUUUUUGAAGGGAAAAUGGGUGAUUUUCGGAUUAAAUGGGGGAAUUUUGAAGAGAAAAUGGGUGAUUUUCGGGUUAAAUGGGGGAUUUUUGAAGAGAAAACGGGUGAUUUUUGCUUACAUGUCUGAUUUUUUAGCUAAAUGUUGGAUUUUCGAAGAGAAAAUGCAUGAUUUACCCUUAAAUGGGGGGAUUUUCGUGGAGAAAAUGGGUGAUUUUUGGGUUAAAUGGGGCAUUUUUGAAGAGAAAAUGGGUGAUUUUCGAGAUAAAUCAAGGAUUUUUGAAGAGAAAAUGCAUGAUUUACCCUUAAAUGUUGGAUUUUCAAGGUGAAAGUGCGUGAUUUUCAAAAUAAAUGAGUGAUUUUUGAAGGGAAAAUGGUUGAUUUUUGGGUUAAAUGGGGGAUUUUGAAGAGAAAAUGGGUGAUUUUCGGGUUAAAUGGGGGAUUUUCGAAGAGAAAGUGGGUGAUUAUCGAGAUAAAUCAAGGAUUUUUGAAAAGAACAUGCAUGAUUUACCCUUAAAUGGGGGAUUUUCUAGGAGAAAAUGCGUGAUUUUCAACAUAAAUGCACGAUUUUUGAAGGGAAAAUUGGCGAUUUUUGGUUUUAAUUGGGGAGUUUUGAAGAGAAAAAGGGCGAUUUUCAUUUAAAUGGGCGAUUUUCGAAGAGUAGAUUUGUGAUUUUCGUUUAAAUGGGGGAUUUUCAAAGGGAAAAUGCAUGAUUUACGGGUUAAAUUGGGGAUUUUUGAAGAGAUAAUUCGUGAUUUAAAUUUAAAUGGGGGAUUUCCGAAGAGAAAAUGCCAGAUUUUUGAGUUAAAUGGGGGGAUUUUCCAAGCGAAAAUUUGUGUUUUUCACGUUAAAUUGGGGAUUUUGGGAUUUAAAAUGUGUGAUUUUCGCUUUAAGUGGGUGAUUAAGUGGGUGAUAAGGAGAAAAAUGGUCAUUUUUGGGUUAAAUGGGGAAUUUUUGAAGAGAAAAUCGGCAAUUUUCGCUUAAAUAGGGGAUUUUCAAAGCGCAAAUGUGUGUCUUUCAGAAUAAAUUUGGGAUUUUCAAAUCAAAAAUGGAUGGUUUUCCCUUAAAUUUGGAUUUUCAAAGGGAAAAUGCAUGAUUUUCGGGUUAUAUGGGGGAUUUUCGAAGACAAAAUACGUGUUUUUC
ensembl:lncRNA